rnacentral:rRNA from 1 species
GACGAACGCUGGCGGCGUGCUUAACACAUGCAAGUCGAACGGUGAAGCCCUUCGGGGUGGCUCAGUGGCGAACGGGUGAGUAACACGUGAGCAACCUGCCCCUGGCCCUGGGACAACCACUGGAAACGGUGGCUAAUACCGGAUACGACCCGCCUCGGCCCCGCGGGUGGGUGGAAAGGUUUUUGGCUGGGGCUGGGUUCGCGGCCGAUCAGCUUGGUGGUGGGGGGUAGGUGCGCCAAGGCGACGCCGGGUAGCCGGCCGUAGAGGGCGAACGGGCACCAUGCGCCUGAGACACGGCCCAGACUCCAACGGGAGGCAGCAGUGGGGAAUAUUGCACAAUGGGAGAAAGCCUGAUGCAGAGACGCCGCGUGAGGGAUGACGGCCUUCGGGUUGUAAACCUCUUUCAGCUACGAAGAAGCGAAAGUGACGGUAGGAGCAGAAGAAGCACCGGCUAACUACGUG